rnacentral:lncRNA from 1 species
AUGAAGCCGAGUCUUUUACAAAUGACUUCUGUCAUUCCUUCCCUGCUCCUGGGAUUCUGUGAGAGCCGUGGGGGCUGCAGCCUGUCUGCUGCACUCCUUGACCUUUGUGUUGUCCCACUUGUGUCUCAAGGGCUUCCUCCUCUGCAAGUGCAAAUAAGGGAAAAUCGUGUAAUUGGUGAGUUCAGCAUAUGAACGUGGUUCUGGGAUUUCUAGGGGAGUCAAUAGAAAGGAGAGGUGUAUUUUUAGCAUUUUAAAGUGCUGGUGCCUUGUCUGCUCAGAGAGAAGGGACAGAGCCACUGCAGCCUGGCUGCAAAGGGCAGGGCAGGUGGGAGAUGAGCUGGAAAGGACAAAGCAAGGGACUUUAUAGGACAAAUUGGGCAGAAUUAAUUCAGAAGAAGAUAUUGCCUGGGCAGUAGAAGCUGAAGAAAACUUUCUAAUGAAGCAUUCUUGUCAGAAAGACAAGGUUGUGAGUGAUACUGCAAAAUUAAUUUUCAUGGCUUUGAAGAAUAUAUUUGAGAAAACCUUUGCUAAAGGGAGACUGAGAUAUGAAGUAGAUUUUUUUUAAUGGCUGUAAAUAUCUUGUUCUCUUAUCAGAAUUUCUGAUUCACUUUAAAAACACUAAGAAUUUUUGGAGUCUUUUGUUCUGCUUAAAAACAUCCAAAAAGAGGGUGGUUAAAAAAAAAAAUCACUUGUCUGCAGGAUAAAGGGAGGAGGUUUAAACUGGUCUCCUGUGAGGAUAUCUGGAGUAAUGUUCCAGGCAGGUUUUACACCUGGUGUAAGCUACCACAGCUGCUUUUGCUGGCCCGGGGCAAAGCCAACAGCAGCUCUGUCCUCCCCCAGUGCUCAGCAGGGACUUCUUGGUGACCUGUGCCAGCCUGGAACUGUAAAUCGUUCAUGAGCAAAGUUGUUCCUGGUGUUUGCGCUCCGGGAUCAUGAAGAGGUCCCAGAAAACCUCUUCAUUCUUUUCCAGGCCCUUCAAACACUGAGCAAGGAGACCAAGAGAGGAUUUCAGUGUUGGUAACAUCUGUAACUUGCAGCUGGGCUGACCCCCACCAUCAGUCCUAAACAAGACUCUUAAAUUAACUGUGUGUAUUUUGGAAUUUAACAAAAUCCUGAGGUUUUCCCUCACCAUUUUUGACAAGAGCCUGAACACAGUAGCCCUGAAUUGUCUGGGUAAUGCUUUGCUUUGCUGAGCUUAAAAUAAAGUCACUGAUCGAGGGAAUUUUCACUCCCUGUUUGACCAAACCCUUCUUUCAUAGGCAGUAGAGAGAAAUCUUAAAGAUUUUCUUUUCUUCCACAGUUCUAAAAGGCCAGUUUGUAGAUAGAGUGCAAAUAUAGAUCAGAUGGAUAUUCUAAAGCCACAUGGCUCUUUUUGUAAGUUGUUCCUUUAAUGGCAACAGAAGAGCAAAUGUUCUCAUGAAGUAUUCACAGAAAGUGAAUUAUUCUGAAGGACAUUGUAUAUCUUAGGAAGUUGUGCACAAAAUGUAGAGUUUCUAAAUAAAAUAAUUGUCUGGGGUCCUUACACAACAUCAGAUAUUAGAAACCUGUGAUUGAUUCAUGGUAGUAGAAAUCAAGUUACUGCUAAUCUAAUUAUUGUCCUUGCUGUUACUUUAAGAUGACCACUUGCACAUUUAUUGUUGAUUUUUGUAACACCCCAUAGAAGCUGCUUGGUGCACUCUGGGAGAAUUUGGGAUAAACAGAUACCUGAAAUAUCUUGAAGCCUAGUGCUGGGAAAGGAAUGGAAAAUGGUUUCUUCUAUUUUUAUGUAGUUCUCCACAUCUUAAAGCAAAUACUCAGUGCAUGAAUGAUCAUAAUUGUUGUUGUGCAUUGGCAGUUGUCAGCUGGGAAUGCACAGCUGGAACAGCUGCAUGUGCAAGCCAGGACCAGCUCAGGUUACUGGGGAGUAGCCUGGGGGCUGAAGAGCAAGAUCAUGUCAUGUUAUGUUGAGGAGGAUUGAUGUACCAUAAUGUCAUUUUCUAAAAAUACAGGAUUGUAAAGCUCAAUGGUGGUGUUACUUUUUCCUCCUGAAAUGCUGUUAGCGGGGUAAAGUUGGAACUUCACUUUGCAAUUCACUAGAAUUUCUUUUCAUCAAUAAACUAUGAAGGGUUUGUAUCUGCUGCACAUGUGAACUUGCAAUUCUUGUCAGCAAUUUUACAUUGUGGUAUGCACAAGGAAUGGAUCAUUUAUGUCUUGGCAUACUUGAUGUUGCACUGCCCAGUGGAAGAAAACUGUCAUCCCUUUUCUUCAGAAAAUGGCACUUCUGUCUCUUCAGUGAAAUGUCCUUAAUUUUCAGGCACGGUAGUGGCUUCACUGUAGUGCUCUUAAGUUUGAAACUAUAUUUCUCUUGCCCUAUGUGAUGUCCUGAAAUUCCACAUCCUGAGUUCUGUUUUCUAUAUAAAGUAAGUGAGGAAAAAAGUGCAACCAAAAAUCCCUCUGUUUGAAAUUAAAGCCCCUGUAAAAAAACACUCUGAGGCUCGUGUUUGUUGUGGCUGGGUCACAGCUGCACUGGUGCUGCAUUGGUGCUGCACAGAGCCUGGAGAGCCACUGUGCCAUGGUUUGGGAAUGGGGAGGUAUCCCUGGCCCAAGUCCUCAAAUGAGCAAGUUGAGAAGUGGCAGGUGAUGAGUGAAAUUCAGUUUAUGUGUUUGGGAUUUUGAGAAGAUCAGCUUCACAGAACAGAGUAAUUGUGUUUCCACUGCUCAAAUCUGCUGAACUAUAAAAAUUGGUUGAUUAAUGGGUUGGGGUUUUUUACUGAAUAAAUGAAGACUAUUUUUAAAAUAACACAAGUGAGAGCCAGCUAGGAAUCUUGCACGUGGUGCUCCAGUGAGCACGCACCUGCACGCUUGCCGAGUGACUGUGUGCCUGUCACUCUGCCAUUUCCUGUGGCUUCAGUUCCUGUUCAAGAACUAAUUUCACAUUUGUACUUGAAGAGUAGAACUUCAAAACCUUUACUGAACUUCCACAUAGAUCUCUUUGCCUCCCAGUCCAGGCCUGAGCUUGUCCUGAAGCCUCUGCAGAGUGAAAAGUACAAAAGGGACGCAGGGUCUGUGAGCACAGAAAUGAGGUUGCUUUUCCUUGGAGUAAACUUGAACUUUGGAUCUUUCCUCCUGUGAUCUGUCAUUAGAAAAUGGCCUUUUCCAGAGAGGAAAACAAAAGAAGUUAAGAAAACAAAUGAAUUAAGAAGAAUUAAUUGAAGCUGUGUAUUACAAGUUGACAUUAUACAUCUGGCAUUUCUGUUUAUGUUUCUGCAUUGGUACAUUUCAUUCUGAUUUAAUAAGUUCCUAAUUUUGUGGGAUUUUUUUUCAAGAUUCUGAAGUGCCUAUGAAGAACAGCCCAUAGUAAAGUAUUGUUCCCAGUUUAGCUGUACUUCAUUUUUUUAAUCAAAUCUUUUUCUUUAGUGGAUAAACUCACAAGAUUAGAAAAGCCUCUUGAACUCCCUCAUGUUUAGUUUGGCAAAUGUCCCACACACAAUUACCCACAGAGAGCUACUUUUAAAAGACCGUUAUUGGGGCUGUACAAAGUCAAGCACUCAGGAGGUAGGAAAUGGCAGAACCAGGUUUGUGCUCCAUGAGUUUGGGGAGUACAUUGCAGUGUCUGAUCAUUUCAUGAUCAAAAAUUGAGCUGACACUGCUCAGAAAUUGUCCAAAACUGCCCAGCCUUAUGAGCCUGGACUUGGAGAACCCCAAUUUCUCUCAAGUUACAUAUAAAUAGGUUUUUAAAAGUUGAACUUCCAGCGUGGCACUGUGGUGUUGGGUGUAACCCGUGUGUGUGCUGGGGGAAUUCUUUGUGUUCUGUGUGUGGAUCCCCGUUCUUGACCUGAGCUCCUGGCGUGGUGGGGAGGAACUCGAAGCUGAAACAGCAAUUUCUGUUUCCACAUUUCACUGGGAGGCCACACACAAGUGUGAUUGGAGCCAGGAAUCUCUGCCUCGGUGAGAGCCCAG